UUUUUAAGUUUGGUUUGAGUGGGGUUGUUGAAGAUUGGAUUGGAAGAGACUGACAUGGACAAGUGUGAGCUCAGCUGGAAUUCAUUUCUCUUCAGGCAAAAGAUGUGGGCCAAUUGGUCACAUUUAGGUUUAAAAUUAGUCAUUAAUUGUAUAAUAACUUAUGUUAAGAUAAGAGUUUCUGGUUAUAUAUGGAACUAAUUUUUUUAUAUUUUAUAUGAAGAGAGAAACAAUUAAUUAUUAAAUUACUACCUAUAUAUUAACAUAAACAUAUAUGAAGUGAGGAGAUGAUUCUCAUGGUGUAUAAUUAAUCUUGAG
rnacentral:misc_RNA from 1 species